rnacentral:lncRNA from 1 species
CCGGCCCCUUUCCAGCCCCUUCCCUGCCUUCCUCCUUUUCUCAGUCAUUCCAGGACCCAGGCAGAAAGUCACACAGAACACUGUGUGUCUGUCAGCAGAUUCCUGGAAGGUCACGCUGAAUGAUGAAUGCUCCCGGGCCCCUUCUGGCCAAAGCAGGAUGUCCGGGGUUGGCUGUGGCCAGGGAGCCCGUCCUUGUCCAGCUCUUUUUACCGUUGCUCUUUCUGCCCUCCUAUCUCCCACUCCCAGAACCUGAUGUGGUCCUGGGGACAGAGACCUGACUCCGCUGUGAUCCCAGGUGACUGUAUCUUAGCCCCAGUUCCCUCAUAAGGGGAGUCUUGCCUGGCAAGGAAAUGGGUUUCAUCUUCAACGUCUGGUGCUUUACCUUGGAUACCCUGGCCUUUGGCAUCCCUCUCCCUCUUCUCAACCACACAUAUGCUGCUGCUGGUCAAGUUCAAGAUUCCAGGCUCUGGAAUGUCUUCUUGGAUGACAUCAGCCAUGCUUCAGACACAUGCAAUUUAUUUUCCUUCAUCUUGAAGCUUGCCUACCUACUCUGGGGCAGUACCUUCAUGGAUAUACCACUUGGAAUAAACUUGUUUGAGAGGACUGUAGGACCUCACAGCCUGUGUCCUUACCUGUACCUGUGGUUGUUCAGGACACACUUCAAAAGAGGUGUUCACAUUCCAGAGAGAAAACUUCCUCUCCUCAGUCUGACAUUUUCCAACGUGUUGAUACAUACCCAAUGGAGUGAUUCUACAGAAGAGGGUGCCACUCACAGCUCUGACCUGAAUGAAGUGGCUCCCCGAAUUGUAUUAAUGUCCUAAUGCAUAUACUCAAGUUAACGGUGUCAGAGUCUUGCUACGCACACCUGCAGCUGAGAGGACAGUAUGGGUCUGGAGUGAGUCUGAAUUUUCCUUCCACAAAAAUAAUUUUGGCAGAUGGUGAUCAAUAUCUUCCUCCCAUAUGUUUUAAAUUCUCUAUAAAGGAUAAUUGAAGACACCCAUCUCAGCAGUGCUGUUCGAUGUGAAUGCCUUCAGCAAUUCUAAAAAGGUAAUUUGGAAAAGGAAGGAGACUGACACUUGGCUCAUGUCUACUAUGAUCAAGUCUGUGUUAUGCA